AUAAUGGGCUUGGAGUAAUGGAGAACUCCAAGGGCAGGAGGUAACCAUUAAAGAGGACCAUCAUGUAGUGUGAGGAGUCAACAUUUCACACUAGAAAGCCCUUGGUUCAAGUUUUGUCUCUGCCACCUACAGAUUUUGUAACCCUGAGGAAACUAGCUACCUCUUUAUGUACUGCCCUAUGGAGAGGCACACAUGUCAAGAAACUGAGGGAGUGCCUUCCAGUCAACAGCCAGCCAGGAACUAAGGUGCUCAGUACAGCAGCCUCCACAAAGGACUGAACAAUGCCAACAGCUAUUUGACUGUGCUUGGAAGAUCUCCGUUUAGUUAACCCUUCAGAUGAGACCGCAGCCCUGGCCAGCAAACAAAUUGCAGCCUAUGGAAAGACCUUAAGGCAGAAGCACCCAACUGAACCACCCGAGGGCUCUGACUUACAGAAACUGUGAGCAUGAAAUGGCCUCUACCUUAUUUUGAAUGGAUUUCUGGGAUAAAGUUCUUCAGUGAUAACAUGUUUGAAGUUUCAGGAAAGAGGCACUGGCCUUUACUUCUCCACCUCGAUUCACUUCCAUGCUGUUGACAAAUGUUAUAGUUGCCCAGGAUCAGAGGGAGAGACUGACCCUGUGACCAUUUCCCCAAAGGCGGCCUUUGGCCACUCCGUGCACUGGAGCACAUGACCCUCUGCCUCGCCCCUGCCACAUUAACCAGGCGGCUAUCUUAUGUGCCCAUGUUACAUGCUCAUGAUAAAGCUGCAUUUCCUGAGGGGACACCAAUGGAUACACCUCUGCCUGGCACGCAGCUUAGAGGCUAAAUGUAUGAAAAGCAACACCAUGCAAAUCAUUUUGAAACUGCUGUGGAACUCUCACGGGACCCUCCAUUCUAGACAUCCAGUCCCACUAGUGAUCUGACCAUGAAACCUACUAAGAGACUUCCAGAAGAAGAUGACCUCUGAAAGGAGAAAACUUUCUUCCAAGCUUCUGUGGAACAAGAAGAUGCCAUCCCUUUGGUGGAGCCCAAAGGGAAACCAGUGAGAUCAUUUGUACAAAUCUUGAAACCAAAGCACAGCCUGUAUGAACCCAUGUUGAACCCUGGACUUUCAGGACUACUGUAUGGCUAACCACAGCCCUGCAAGGCCAGGCUCAGCAUGUCACAGUUUUGCCACUGAACAAGAAUCUUUCGAAGGAUCGCAAAUACUACAUGGAAAAUGACUGUAUUCUUUCUGCAAGGCCACUCUCUUAGACAUCACCCUAACAAAAACAAUUACGGGUUGGAAGAGGAGAAAGGAUGCAAAGUUUGUGCCUUGACCUAAAAAAGGUCAUGAGCACCUCUACCGGUUCUUGGAAACAUUAGUUGCAGUGGAUCUCAAAUUCUAUUGCGCAAAAGAACGACCUGGUGACCCUCUAAAAGUGUAGAUUCUCUGGUUUCACCCCUAGACCUUGUGACUCACAUGUCCAGUGAGGCCAGGAACUCCUCACUGUUAACCUGUGCCCUAUUUUAACAAGCCCUGCUGGGAGUCGGGAUGUUGGGGGUCCCCACACCACACUGAAAUAGAGGAAUUCCCUGCUCAAAGAUCCCGUUAUGUCCUGAUUACAAUCUGCAAUGAGAUUAUGAAAUCAUUAAAUCAUGAUUAAGCC
rnacentral:lncRNA from 1 species